GCAGGGGGAAGCCUGGCUCCCGGGCUGAGUCAGGACACUCCUGCGGGAACCCGACACUUCCCACCGGGUCCACCUCCGCAGUUUCACAGGCUGCGGGGCAGGAAGCCCCCUCCCCGGAUGUCAACCCCCGGGAAAAUGGAGCAUCUCCCUCAUGCCAAGGAGCCAGAGACGGAGAGGCGCCUUUCGUUUCCCCUUCUCCAGUCCUUAAUUCCAAGCCUUACGGUGGAGUUUCAGGCAUCCUCAGCGUAAAGCAGGAAAAGCCAGAAGACCAAGGAAGAGGAAAAGAGAAAAUUUCCCCUCCCCCACCCACUGAAGCAAAGAUUUGAAGGAAGAGUUCCAGCCAAACAGGCACCAAUCUGAAAGAAAAGUGUCCCAAGAAAAGGGAACUGCAAGUGCAAAGGCCCUGGGGUGGUAACAUGCUUUGGGUAUGCUUUGUCCCCCUCCUUUGAGCACAGAGCUGUCCAACUCCUUAUCGUUGUACCUUGCUCUCCUACUUCAGCUCCCUCCUCCUCUGCACCACCCUUCUGCCCAGCCCCCAUGGGUCUGUCAAACUCCCGCCUGCAUGCCCAGAUUCAAAUGUUAUUUCUUACAGCUUGUCCUUAUUGCCCCUCACCUAUGUUCUCACAAUGUUCAUAUUUCUAUUAUGAUAAUCAUCACAUUGUAAUAUGAUUUUUUUAAAUCUGUUUUGGCCUGGCUGGUGUGGCUCAAUGGUUGGGCAUCAACCUAUGAACCAGGAGGUCACGGUUCAAUUUC